rnacentral:rRNA from 1 species
ACUCCUACGGGAGGCAGCAGUGAGGAAUAUUGGUCAAUGGGCGAGAGCCUGAACCAGCCAAGUAGCGUGAAGGAUGACGGCCCUAUGGGUUGUAAACUUGCUUUUAUACGGGAAUAACAUCUAUGCCACGUGUGGGUGUCUGCAUGUACCGUAUGAAUAAGGAUCGGCUAACUCCGUGCCAGCGAGCCGCGGUAAU